rnacentral:antisense_RNA from 1 species
CGGACGGUGUACGGCCAGGAGCCGUCCUCCUGCUGGAGCGCCUCGUCGCCGAGGUGGUCGCCGUCCGCGAGGGUGCCGACGACCGUCUCCUCGCCGUACUUGCCGGUGCCGAGGCGGUCCAGCUUGCCGUGCGCGAUGAGGAAGACCUCGCUGAUCGGCGUGCCGGCCGAGACCAGCACGUCGCCCGCGCUGAACUGCCGCUGCACGAAGCGCCCGGCCAGCUCCGUGAGCACCGCCUCGUCCUCGUAACCGCGCAGCACCGGCACCUCGGCCAGCGUCUCCGGGAUGACGCGCACCUCGGAGCCGGUCUUGGCGAAGCUCACCCGGCCGCGACCCACCGAGUGCCGCAGGCGGCGGUUCACCCGGUAGGUACCGCCGGACACCUGCACCCAGGGCAGCUUCCUGAGCAGCCAGCGCGGGCUGAUGCCCUGCAUCUGCGGCGCGGACUUGGUCGUCGUGGCGAGGUUGCGCGCGCCCGCCGUGCUCAGACUCUGCUGCUGACGGAUU